rnacentral:lncRNA from 1 species
CCGACCGUAUUUGAGAAGUGGGCAAUGGAAUGGGAUAAAGUUCCUAGGGAUGCCACAUAUGUCUGCAGUAUAUACUAAUGGAAUUAGCAUUGUAUCGGAUAGUCAAGAGGGUAGUCAGUAUGUUGCUCUCAAUUUUUUCAACACCUCUCUCAUUAAAGUCGUGUUCCUUUCACCAGAAGGAUAUCUGCAGCUAAUUAUUUGGGAUGAAGGAGAGAAAGAAUGGAGAGUUCAAUUACAGGAACCGGAGAGCCAAUGUGACAUUUACGGAGCUUGCGGUCCUAAUGGAAUUUGUAAUAAAGAUAAGUCUCCAAUUUGUAGGUGUUUGGAAGGGUUUGAACCAAGCUCAAGUGAAGAGUGGAGCAGAGGGAACUGGACGAAUGGAUGUGUAAGACGAGUUGAACUUAAUUGUGACAAGAACAUAAGCUUAUUAGCCUCAAGCCGGAAUAAAACUGAUGGAUUUUUGAAAUUGAGUGGGCUGAAACUGCCAGCUCAUUCCCAGUAUCUGAAAUUUGAAGUGGAUACAGAAGCUUGCAAAUUCUCGUGCUCGAACAACUGCUCUUGCGUGGCAUUUGCGUCUGUGACAGGAAUCGGGUGUAUGCUUUGGACUGAAGAUCUUAUGGAUGUUCAGGCCUUCUCAUCUACAGGAGAGGAUCUCUUCGUUCGUGUUGCACAUGCAGAACUAGGUACUUUACACAUACAAUUCUUCACCUGAACUCAGAUUAUGAGGUUUGCAUACAUCUGUCUCCCCGUUGGUUUGUUUACCUUCAAAUUUUAAAAUUUUCUCUAGGUAAGGAGAAGCACAAAUCGAAGGUAAUCUUCCCUGUUGCAGCUAGUUGUACUUUGAUCGUCUUGAGUACAUUAUUAGUGUAUGGUUUCUUCAGGUAUAGAGCUAACCACAAAGGUAAGAGCACUGAUGUAUUUUUCACAGCUACUUAAAUUUAUUCAAGCGUUUUGAGCAUAUUAAUCUCUUGUGUUUUGAAAGUUGUUCAAAUAAAGCAUUGCAGAUCAUGCGGUUUAUGUAUAAAGCUUAAUCAUGAUUAUUCAUAGCUAACUUGAGAAAAACUGCAGUAGAAAUUUUAGGUCCAAAAUUCAAAGUAUACUGAUGGACCUUCCAAUAAUUAAGCCGUGUAAGCCACCUGUCCACCUUGAUUUGUGGUAAUGGAUUAUUGCCAGUCAAGAGGGAAAGGUUGAGCUGUCAGGUAUAGAAAAUUUGGCUCGUUCAACAGAAAUCUCUAAGCCAUGCAGCUCCAAGAAACUUGUUUCCUGUACUACCCUUGACGAUUGACAUUUGGGGGCUUAAUUACUUUGACUUCUCUUUAGCAUUUUUCUCCAAUAAACUGACUGAAAAGUUCCUUGUUAUUGAGUAGUUAAUUAGAUUAAUUAUAUGCAAUUUGAGUAUAAUUUAGUAUAUAAUAUUUUAAUAACGUUAGGUUGCUGAAUUAUACAUAGAGCCUGGCUGUCUCAUAAGAAUUAUAUCCUUUAAGACCAGUAUGUCAAUAAAUCCUGCCAAAUCAAGAUAUGUCACAGUGUUAGGCUCCAUAUCGGAUUCUAGUUGGUCUAGGCCAAAUUACUCAGUUUCGCGCCUAUUUAAGAAAAAGAUCUGCUAACUUUAAAGGUAUGAUGGCUCAAUGUCUAUACUUAGGGGAAAGCAGAGAAGCUUUGCAUGAAUCUGAUUCUGCUGAUGCAACUAACCCUUUGAGAGACACUCGAAAAGGAAUAGCAGGGAGCAACAUCAUAAAACAAAAAGAUUCGUUGAUAUUUGAUUUCAACCACGUAGUUGUUGCUACCGACAACUUUAGCCUAACGAACAAGCUUGGCGAAGGGGGAUUUGGACCUGUUUAUAAGGUAUCACUCCUUUUUACUAUUUCUUUUUGCUUGUAGAUGUACAAGGACACCAUAGACUGAUAUAUGUCACACAAGAGCAGGGAAAGCUGCAGAAUGGAAAGGAAAUAGCCGUGAAGAGACUUUCUAGUCACUCAGGACAGGGCAUGGAGGAAUUCAAGAACGAGAUUGUGUUUAUUUCCAAACUCCAACAUAGGAAUCUUGUUAAGCUUUUGGGUUGCUGUGUUGAAGGGGAGGAAAAACUGUUGAUCUAUGAGUACAUGCCGAACAAGAGCCUGGACACAUUUCUCUUUGGUUAACUCCCUUUUUCACUUAUUCAUCCCUAUUAUUUUAUAACACAACUUAUAACUGACUUUGUCAAAAAUUUCCAUGAUCUGAUUAGAUCCAACAAGAAAAACACAGCUAGUUUGGGCUAAGCGCUUCAGCAUUAUUCAGGGUAUUGCCAGAGGGCUUGUUUAUCUCCAUCGUGAUUCCUUUCUAAGGGUCAUUCACCGUGAUCUGAAGGCUAGCAAUGUUCUUUUGGAUGAAGACAUGAACCCAAAAAUUUCAGACUUCGGAUUGGCUAGAACUUUCCAAAAGACUCAAGAGCUAGCAAAUACUCGCAGAGUAGUGGGAACAUUGUAAGCAUUACUUGUUUGUUUUAUUAGCAGAUUCAAUGAACAUUCAUCUUGAUAAUCCACUCCCAUAAGGAGUAGUAAUGCAUUAAAUUGUUGUCUAGUGUAACAUGAAACUUGCAACCUAAUUUGUAAAUAGGUUCAUGUACAUAUAAUCACUUAACUAGGUAUUGGCUUGUUCAAAUGUACCUCAAAAUCCAGAUAACUUUUAACGACUUUGGCAUUGAAGUAAACAAGCAUUAAAUAUUCCAAUCAAUGCAGGGGCUAUAUGUCUCCUGAGUACGUCAUAGGAGGGAGGUUUUCAGAGAAAUCUGACGUCUUCAGCUUCGGGGUCUUGCUACUCGAGAUUGUCAGCGGCGAGAAAAAUUCAGGCUUCCAGAAUGAUGAACACCAAAACCUUCUUGGUUAUGUAUGCUUCAAAGUUAAAACACUUUCAUCUUUGCAUAUUCCUUCUGGGAUUCUUUUAGUAAGUGAAAUCUACAUUGUUUCAGGCUUGGCGGUUGUGGUGUGAAGGUAGAGUGCUUAACUUGGUUGAUCAAGCCUUAGGGGACUCAUUCUGCAAUGUAGAAGUAAUGCGAUGCAUACACGUUGGGCUUCUCUGCGUCCAGGAAAAUCCUGCAGACAGGCCUAGCACGCCAGCCGUGAUUCUCCAGCUUACCAGUGGAACGAGCCUUCCACAACCAAAGCAACCUGCAUUUGCUUUUGACAAUUCACGGUACUCCUCUCAUAGAUCAAAUUCUAAUAGCUAUAUAGGCUCCGUGAACGAGGUCACAUUGUCAGCGACUGAAGGUCGAUAAUUGAUGAUGAACGGAUUGUUUCUAUUUUUCUUUUUAUUUACAGAAUUAGCAACUCCUAUUUUAAAAUUUUUCUUACAUUUCUUAUGAUCAUUAUUUUCAUCUUCCCACUCUUUCGAUAAAGAACAAAUUUUACUUAAUUGGAUGGAUAUUUUCAACAAUAAUAAGCUUGAGAUAUAAUUUUCAUUUAAACAAAUAAAGAAAAAAAGUUUUUGAAAUAAGAGAAGUUUAGGUCUUUAAUAGUAUAACUAAAAUGGGUUAAAGAGCAAAUAGGGACUCUUAUAAUUUAAUAAGAAGAUAAAAAAACGAUUUUAACAAUAUUUCAUUCUUUUCUCUAUAUUCUCCACAUCUUUUUAUACUAUUUUAUUACAAAAAAACUUUAUAAAAAUUUAAUAAUUUUACCAUACACUAGUGACUCUUCAAUGUAUUGAUUUUGUUAGCUCAAAAAUAAUUAAUUAUCAAGUUUCAUUGUAUUCUCGAGAUUUUAUCAUCUAUAAUCUUAUUCGCGAGGUGAAUAAAGCAAUGGAUCUCGUUGACACCUUGAUUCCGGAUCCAUGCUCUCCAACUGCAGUGUUGAAAUGCAUACACAUAGGCAUAAUGUGUGUGCAGGAUAAUGCAAUGCACACACUAACAAUGGCAGCCAUGGUGCUAAUGCUUGAGAGUGAAACUCCAACGCUUCCAAUGCCUAGACAACCCACAUACACUUCCAUGAGGAGUUCUCUAGGUGCAGAAUUCACCAUGGAUGGUCAAGAAAUUGUAUCUUCAAAUGACGUCACGGUGACAAUGGUAGUUGGAAGAUAGAUUGAUUUGUUACUUACCCUUCCAUUGUUUUCAUAUUACACCAUUCAAAAUUUUCCUGAACCUGGUGUUUUCUGCUUCUCUUGUUUGAAGUUGUAGAGUUGUUCCAUUAAAGCCCGCUCAGCUACAAGGGGUAGGCCGGUUGAAUGGAUUAGUGCAGGAAGCAGGGGAAACACUUAAUUAUCAAAGAAUUGUACAUGCAGUCAAACUUUAAUGGGAUAGAAUUGUAAUUAUAUAAGGUUUUUUUUUUUCUUGGGUUCAUUGUAACUGAGAUUUUUCACUUGUUAAUGCGAGAUUAAUUACUCAUACAAUUUCCCCUGUUUCCAACAAUGAGUACUCAUAAAGCAGAAAGCAGUCAUUUACUUAGCCCAUGCCCACCCUCCCAGAAGACAAGCGAGAGAACCCUAGUUUUCAGCCUUUGGGCCAUUUGUUUUCUAAUAUGAAGGAAGGCCCAUUUUAGCUUAUUCUAUUUUGUGGCUGAGAAGAACAGCAAUUAAAAAUAAGAAAAACAAGGUGGAAGUAUGUGAUCAAUGUAUUAGUCUUUUCAGAUAAUUGUACAAUUAUCUAAUCAUAACAAAAAAUUACAAAGAAUUGUAAACUUCAUAUAAUAUUUUGAUAGAUGUUAUAUAAUCUAGGAUUAUAAUUUAUUAAUUAUCAUGUAAUAAUUGCACCAAAUAUACUUUUUAAUUUGGUAUUACGGACGGAAAACUACCAAUAAGAAAGAAGAAAGAUCUCUCUAAUUAACUGUCCUAAUUACCAAUUCAAUCGUUUCCGUUAUCAUACACUUGAAAUCCUAGAGUUGACUGAGAGCAACAAGUUCGACAGAUGAAUGAGCCGUGGAGAGACCGCAAGCUCGGUUUUCUUAAGUUGCAUGUAAUGGGGUUAUUUCGGGGUAUCUACCAUCGGUGGAAAAACGACUAGUCGUAUGGGACCAAGGACAUGGACUCGUUAACACAUUUGUUAACUUUCAUUGGUUUUGGAAUGGCGGGGAUAAAGAAUUGAGACCUUGCAUUUAAUAAACUAUUCCAAGCUUGUAGUUUAGAAAUAGAAGUCUCAGGAUCUUUGAUUCUCUCAGAAACUGAUUUCCAAGAUGGGUGGUGAAAAGAGAAGUAGAGUUUUGCUUUCUUCCAUGUCCCUCUUGUUCAACUUGCUUCUGUUACAUUGCUGCGCUGCAACUAAUAACAUAACUCUAUCCAGGCCAUUAUCACAAGACCAAAUCCUUACCCCCCAGGCCAAUUUUUUGUGCUAGGCUUCUUUCAGCCUAACAAUUCUGCCAAUCAAUAUCUGGGAAUAUGGUAUAAAUGUAAUUCCCCAACCUAAAAAUAGGAUUACAUUAGUAUGUUUACUAAAUCCUAAAUUUGACAAAUAGGUUUUAUUGAAAUUACUUUAAAAAUAUUUGGGUUUAUAAUAGAAUAGUUGUGUAUUAAAAACCUUUUAGCAAACAGAGUGGUUUUAUUUUAAUUGGAGUCAAAUUACAUUCUCACGUUAAAAAAAAAUACAGUCAAUUAUAUCUUAUCAUAUUUUUUAAAAAAAAAGAAAAGAAAAUCAAUUAGUUUUAAAAAAAUCAAUAAGGCAUGUUUAAAUAAAAGCAGUUUACACAUUUAAAGGAAAAGAGGUAAGGCCAAUUAUUUUAUCACAUACGAGGAAGUUAAAAGUCAGUUUUCAUUAAUACGUUUAAAGAAAAAAAUAUAGAGAAGGAAAAAAACAAACCAUUUGNUAUUUUUAAAAAAAAAGAAAAGAAAAUCAAUUAGUUUUAAAAAAAUCAAUAAGGCAUGUUUAAAUAAAAGCAGUUUACACAUUUAAAGGAAAAGAGGUAAGGCCAAUUAUUUUAUCACAUACGAGGAAGUUAAAAGUCAGUUUUCAUUAAUACGUUUAAAGAAAAAAAUAUAGAGAAGAAAAAACCAUUUGGGAGAAACUAAUCCUAGAGAAGAAGAAGGUAGAAAAAGGAAAAUCUACUCAAGAAAGCAUUGUUUAAGAUAUGAUUAGGCUUCAAAUUAUGAGAAUUUUGUACUUUUCAUUGUUUGAAUGCAAAAGCCCUAGGUUAUUUUAUGUUUCUUCAAUUUCCAUCCAAAUCUAGUACUGUUCUGAUGACUUUCCAGCUACAUGAUGGGUACCAAUGGAAAUGUUUUAAAAGAUCUUUCUAAUGGUUUUUGUAGCAUCUCAUUUAGCUUUGUGGUUAGGAAGAUACAAAAUUUAAAGCUGACUAGAAACUUAGUUUUCAAUAGUUUUGACGACCCAACUUUGGGUCAACGGAACUUCAUAUUUUGGUAACAUUUUGGGGCAUAUCUUUGAAGGCUUUUGUAGUAUAAAAUGAGAUGUUUAAUUUGGCAUCAAUGGCUCGAUUAGAAGCUUCCUGUGUUAAAAGAAUUAAAGCUUCAAAAUAGGCUUGUUGAUAGUGGAAACUCAGAAAUCUAGGUAUUUUUGUGAUGAUUUUUAAACUUUUGACUUCUAUAACUUGUGAAUUUUGCAAUCUUUUUCAUCAAAACAAUUUUUAAUGUUAUAGUGUGACAUAAAUGCUUCAAUUUGGUUUUGAGUUUAUCACUGGAAAUAAUUCGGAUUAAGAGUUAUAAGAUCGAAGUAAGUCAAAUGGUCAUAAAAAUAUAAAAUUUUAGAAUUUAUAAAAAUUCAUUGUUAGUUAUUUUAAAAAUUAUUCUUGACUUAUAUUCAACCUAUUUUGCUAGAAACUUCAGAAAAUUAAGCAACUUAAAUUUUAGUGAAUUUUUGUAUAAUAAAUAUUUAUUUGACAAAUUAUUAUUGAAUUAGCAUAUUUUGGAAAUUUUAUUGGAAAUCUUCAAGAACUAAAUUUUGAUUUGUAUUUGAAGUAUUUCCACCCAAUCACAUAUUGUUGCUGAUUUUGUACUAUAAUCUAUGAGUUUGUAAGUUUUGAAUGUUUUAUGUAUUUAUAAAUUAUUAAAAAAUUCAAAUUGAUUUCGAUUAGCGAAAGAGGUGCUACACUCUAAAAUGCCUUAAAAUGACUAGUAGAGAGUCAUGGUUCGUUUUGAUAAGUUAGAAAUGCUAGUUUCUAAUUUCGAGUAUUUUGAAUUAAUAGGUUCCGAGAGGAUUCUAACUCUUUGCUUUUUGAUUUUGGUUUUAACGAAUCUAAUAAGUGAUUGAUAUCCCUUUUGUGCUUUCACAUCCUAAAAAUUAGCCUUAAUGUGAAAUUGAAUUUCAUAUAUUAUGUAUAAUAUAUUUUAUCCUAUAAUUUAUAAAAAUCGAAUUGAGCAUGCAAAAUGUAUAUAUAUGAUUUUUAUAUAUUGGAUUUUGGAAUGUGAAUUUUUUUGUGAAAUAUGAUUUCUGAUUUUAAAAUAUUAAUAUGAUUUUUGUUUAACAUAUGCAUAUAUGACUAUCUUAGUGAUUACAUAUGUAAAUACUUAAUUUGAAAUAAAUAUGCUUUGAUGUAUACGAUAUGUGUUUUGUGAAAGUGAAUAUUACGGUUUUGUGAAAGUGAAUAUUACUGUUUUGUGAGUUUGAGUAAUCAGAAACUAUAUUUUGUUUUAUCUUCUAGUAUGACUAUGUUAUGAUCUUGCUAAUGCGGGUUAAACGUAGGCUAUGUCGACAUUUAUUAUAUGAUUAGAGAUCGAUCUCUCAACCGCAUCACCGAUUACAAAAUAGUUAUACUUGUAAUGUCUGUUCAGAGCAGCCAAUGAUUGCUUUUGAUAUAAUUAUGACCCAUGUCACUGGAGUUAAUUGUGGUUUUGAUAUGAUGCCACUAAGAUUAAUUGUAGUUUCUAUUAUGAUUACGACUUAUGCCAUUGAGAUAAGUAUGACCAUUGUAUGUUACAAGAAAUCAAUAAAAAUUUGAAAUUAGUGUGAAAUUAUAUUUUGUUUGGUUAUAUGAAAGUUUUGAAAUUAUAUUAGCUAUGUUAUCUUAAGUGAAAUUAUAUUUAUUUUUAUAAUUUAAAAAUAAAAUUUUAAAAUAUAUGUUUUUGAAUGAGAUUAUUCAAAAUUUGUCUUCUUCUAUGGAAGGGAGGCCUAUUUUAGCCCAGCUUGUUCUAUUGCUUAAUGAAUUGCAAAUAUCUCCUUUUAUCUUAUUCUUUCAUAUCACACCAAGGCCCUAAGUAUAAUUAAAUAAUCACAGGUUUUCUUUCACACUUCAAAAAGCAUAAUUAAUCAUCCGAAACUUUAAAGUAAAAAAUUACACAUGAAAAGGGUUUAAAAAGACUUUUGUGGCAAAGAAGAACAUCCAAUUAAAAGUAAGAAAAAUAAAGUAGACCUAGAUGAUUAAUAUAUUAAUCUUUUUAAAUAAUUAUAUAAUUAUCUAGUUAUUACAAAAAAAUAUGUACGAAAUUUUCAUUUAUAAUUAUAAGUUUCAUAUAAUAUAUUUUGGUAGACAUUAUACAAUUUAGAAUUGCCUUUCAGAAAAAAAUACAAUUUCGAAUUGUAAUUGAUUAAUGUUAAUGUAAUAAUUGCAGGAGAUAUGUUUUUUAAUUUGGUAUAUUAGAUGAAAAGCUGCUAAUGAAAAAGAAUUAAGAUCUCUAUAAUCAACCGUCAUAAUUACCAAGUCAGCGGUUUUCUUUAUCACACACUUCAAAUCAGAUUUGACCAAAAGCAACAAGUAGGACAGAUAAUGGAGAAACAGCAAGCUCGGGUUUCUUAACGUGUUGUUUGGGGUAUCUAAACCAUGGAAAAAAAUACAAGUCAACUGGGACCAGUCAAGGACAUGAAUUUCUGGACACGUUUCUUUACUUUUGUUGGUUUUGGGAGCGAGGGGGAUAAAGAAUGGGGAACUUGCAUUUAAGAAACUAAUCAAAGCUUGUAGUUUAAGAAUAGAAGUCUCAGGCACAUUAGCUUGAUUGACUCAAAUUCUGUUAUGUACUUUCACCAUGUAGCUAUUUUUGUUUUGUGAUCGACAUGCUUGAAGACAGAUGAGCAUUUUCGAUGUCUGUGUUUUUUCCUUUUCUCUUUUACUCAAAUUGCUUUUCGUCAAGUUUUGCACCGCCAUAGAUGUGUUAACCCCAUCUCAAGCACUCCCACAGGCCACAGGGACAAACUCUAACCUCCUCUGGCAACGUCUUUGAGCUCGGCUUUGUGAGUUUUAAUAACUCUAGCCUUUAUUACGUAGGAAUUUGGUACAAGAAUAUUGUCCCUCGUANNNNNNNNNNNNNNNNNNNNNNNNNNNNNNNNNNNNNNNNNNNNNNNNNNNNNNNNNNNNNNNNNNNNNNNNNNNNNNNNNNNNNNNNNNNNNNNNNNNNNNNNNNNNNNNNNNNNNNNNNNNNNNNNNNNNNNNNNNNNNNNNNNNNNNNNNNNNNNNNNNNNNNNNNNNNNNNNNNNNNNNNNNNNNNNNNNNNNNNNNNNNNNNNNNNNNNNNNNNNNNNNNNNNNNNNNNNNNNNNNNNNNNNNNNNNNNNNUUCCUAACCAAAUCACUUGAAAUAAAAUCAAAUCCACCAUCAACAUACCAUAAGGAAGAUUCGGCCAAUGAGGGUGAUGGAAGAACAUGAAUUUUUCUUGUUUGCUUUUCAUGCUACACAUCACCAACCAACUAAAAACACUAGAAUAACAUGUUUUCUAACUAAAUUCAUCAUCAAAUCUUCUCCCCCUAGGUUCGGCCAAUAAGGGAUCCAUCAUGAAAUCAUGAAUUUCAACCAUGAAAAAUGAGAAAGAAUGCUUAGGAAAGAUAGAUCUCAAGCUAAAGUUGAAAAAUCUUACCUCUUGUCACUUCAUUCCUUGAAAUUCCAAAAUUUUCUCUUGAAUUUUUCUAACUAGGUUUUGUUCUUUCUUUCUUUCUUUCCUCUUUUCCUUGGUGAGGCCGAACAUAUGGGAGUGAAAUGGGAGAGUCAUGUGCUGAUUUUUAAUGUAAAUUAUAAAGAAAUAAAAGCUUGCCACUUGUCACCAUCCAUUAGUCCAUGUUUAACACUUAACUACUAAGCUUUCUUUCACCACCACAUAAAAUAUCUCAAUUAUCCAUAAUAUAAAAUGUUAAUGGAUGAAAUCCCUAGGCAUGACAAGUGUUGGGUGGUGUAAAAUUUCAAUUUUGCCCUUAGGUGGCAAAAUGAUCAUUUUGCCCCUACGUCAUGAAAAUUUCAAUUUGACUCCAAAUCAAUCCUCGAACUCCGAAUAACCAUAUUAAGUCAUUAUGGGUUUUUAAAAUUCUCAAUUUCAUCUUAAAAUCUCUAUUUGGGCUAAUUCGAGGCUUAAUUCAACUUAGUUGUACCACUAGGUUCACUACCGACUUUUAACGAUUUUUCGGGGCUUUCCAAGUAUGCAAACAUAUUUUCAAGCACAUGAAUGAUAUGGCAAAUAUUUUAUAGAGUUGGGCUUGACAUGUAAUGAAUAUAUAUAUACAUAAUUGUAUAAAUAUUAUAUAUAUAUUUAUUUAAUUUAUACAUAAAUAUUAUUAUUAAAAUAUAAGUAAUUAAAUUAUAUUAAAAUAUUGAUAUUUAAAUUAUUAAUAUUUUAAUUAAUUAUAAAUUAUUAAUAUUUAAAAAUAAAAUAAAAAAAUAAUUAUAUAUAAUAAGGGUAUUUUUGUCUUUUUAUUUUCUAUUCCUUUCUUAUUCAAAAGCUAUUGUUACCAACCAAACACUGUAAUAAGUCAUAAUAAUUAUUCCUAUUCUAUUCCAUUCAUCAUACCAAACUACAUAAUACUUAUUUUAUUCUAUUCCCACCUCAUUCUAUUUCCACGUAAUAACUAUUCUAUUCUAUUCCUAUCUAUUCCGCGAACCAAACGUGCCGGUAGAGUUUUAUGGGUGGCCAACAGAGAUAAGCCCCUCACCGACUCAUUGUCCUCAAGUCUAAUGAUAGCGGGUGAUGGAAAUCUGAAGCUCAUGAAUGGCAUGCAAGACAUUGUCUGGUCAACCAAGGUUCCUAUCCAAUCAAAUAAUUCGGUUGCGGUGCUUUUGGAUAGUGGGAAUUUUGUUCUGAAGGAUAACUCCUCGGGACAGAUCUAAUGGGAGUGCUUUAGACAUCCUGGUGAUACUUUUUGGUCCGGAUGAUAGGUAUGAAUGUUAAAACUGGUGAGAAACGAUUCCUGAUUUCCUCGAAAAGUAAGGACGACCCAUCGCCUGGUAGUUUUGUUGGUGGAACUGGAGCACAGAGUGGUCCGAUAAUAGAAGGUUUUAUUUGGAAUGGAACCCGACCGUAUUGGAGAAGUGGGCAAUGGAAUGGGAUAAAGUUCCUAGGGAUGCCACAUAUGUCUGCAGUAUAUACUAAUGGAAUUAGCAUUGUAUCGGUUAGCCCAGAGGGUAAUCAGUAUGUUACUCUCAAUGUUUUCAACACCUCUCUCAUUAAAGUUGUGUUCCUUUCACCAGAAGGAUAUCUGCAGAUAAUUAUUUGGGAUGAAGGAGAGAAAGAAUGGAGAGUUCAAUUACAGGAACCGGAGAGCCAAUGUGACAUUUACGGAGCUUGCGGUCCUAAUGGAAUUUGU